rnacentral:rRNA from 1 species
UACGAGGGGUGCAAGCGUUGCUCGGAAUUAUUGGGCGUAAAGGGUAGGUAGGUGGUCUCAUUUGUCAGGGGUGAAAGCCUUGGGCUUAACCUAAGAAGUGCCCCUGAAACGGUGAGACUGGAGUCCUGGAGAGGGUCGUGGAAUUCCCGGUGUAGCGGUGAAAUGCGCAGAUAUCAGGAGGAACACCGGUGGCGAAGGCGGCUUGCUGGGCCUUACCUGACGCUGAGGAGCGAAAGCGUGGGGAGCGAACAGG